rnacentral:rRNA from 1 species
CCUACGGGAGGCAGCAGUGAGGAAUAUUGGUCAAUGGACGAGAGUCUGAACCAGCCAAGUAGCGUGAAGGAUGACUGCCCUAUGGGUUGUAAACUUCUUUUAUAUGGGAAUAAAAUGUUCCACGUGUGGGAUUUUGUAUGUACCAUAUGAAUAAGGAUCGGCUAACGCCGUGCCAGCAGCCGCGGUAAUACGGAGGAUCCGAGCGUGAUCCGGAUUGAUUGGGUUUAAAGGGAGCGUAGGUGGAUUGUUAAGUCAGUUGUGAAAGUUUGCGGCUCAACCGUAAAAUUGCAGUUGAAACUGGCAGUCUUGAGUACAGUAGAGGUGGGCGGAAUUCGUGGUGUAGCGGUGAAAUGCUUAGAUAUCACGAAGAACUCCGAUUGCGAAGGCAGCUCACUGGACUGCAACUGACACUGAGGCUCGAAAGUGUGGGUAUCAAACAGGAUUAGAUACCCCUGUAGUC